UGUACACAUGCACAGGAGCUAGUCGUGGAUCCGUGUAUAUGGAUGGUGAAUGGAUGUCUUGAAGAGUCUGGUUCCUGUUCAUUGGUCGGUUGGGGCCGUUCUCUGGUGGGUGGGUCCGCGCUUCUGGUGGGUCGGUUGUGGGUCUGUCGUUCACGAGGUUCUCUUUGUCUUUCCUGGUCGCUGUCUCCAAUGUUUCUUGAGUUGUGGUUUGGGUGGGUUUGGUGGUCUGCCUCACUAUCUUCGCUCUGUUCCGCUCUGUUCUGGCAUUGGCGGCGUGCGCUUGUUCGGCUGGGGCUGUUGUCGUUCUGCCCUUUUUGAUAUCCCU
rnacentral:lncRNA from 1 species